rnacentral:lncRNA from 10 species
UAUCCUUUUGCCUCCUCCAUGCUGUUUGGCACAGCUGGAAACAGUAUGGGUAGAGGCUCAGUAAUAUUGAUUAACUAAUUAAUUUAUUGUAUAAGAAGUAUUCAGCCACCAGACACAUGUCUUUUAAGAGCAAGCUUUAACCAUUUCAGUUGUUUGCUCCCAUCCAUUUUCUGUCAUCCGACACAGGAAGACAUCAAGGGAGAGGUAAUUCACAGGAGUAAGGAGGCACCACCAGGGGCAGAAAUGUUUGAUCCUAAGAAAGUGUAGCCACAAGAUUUAUAUCAAGUGGCAGAGCCUCAAGGUUUGAGGAAGAAAACAAAAGUUUGAUUCAGGAGGGCAGAGCAGAGACAGAAAUGGCAACUGGAUGUCAGAGAUAUGCCCUGGAUAAUCUCUUUUUGAGAUGAACCAUGGAAUACUCAAAAUAGGGCUGAGUCCAAAGAAGCAGAGCUGGGUAGGAAUGAGAGAGGAAUGCAGGUGCCAGCCAGCUGUCUUGGAUACAGUAUGAGAGGCCUGAUAGAGUCCAAGGACCUAGCAGAGAGAGAGAACUCCUGGAACCCAAAACACUGGAUAGACUGGACUCCAUGAAGUGGCCAUUUGUUAGUGUUGCUGAAACUCACGCUGAAGAACUUAAUUUUUCUCUAUAUUUUAGCCCUUGGGUAUGAAGCUAUACAGGAGCCUUUCCAACCACUGGUGAGGGUGAUAUUCCCAGCUCAGCCUCGUUGCAUUAUGAAGACAGUUUGCAUAUGGCAGCUGGCUGGUAGCUAGGCCUGUGGGUGGGAGCUGAAAGAAUCCACUCUGCUGGGAACUAUUUGAACUACAAGAUUUCCUUUCCUUUUCAGAAAAAUGUGGUAGUUUUACCAGGGAUUUCACAGUUAUUGGUAUCCAUUUAAUUGGCACAAAAUAGGGGGUUUGGCCGGGGAGAUUGUUGGGGAUGUUGAAACUUAUCUUCUAACUUCUUCUUUCCAAGAGUCCUUUAUUAUUUCCCAGCCUAGCAUUGCCUUCUCCCCGAUUUCUUCUUCCCAUGGAGAAAAGUCACCCUUCCCUAUUUAAGAAAGGGAAAACUUACAGGAACUGGUCUCACAGAGACAAGUUAGGAAACAAUUUAAAGGAGAGAGAGAUAAAUAGAAUCAAAUUCAGCAUCAAAGUUUUAUAAGCGGUAGUCCCAUUCAAUUUGGUAAAAGAUGAGUUAUUGGAAAACUCUGUCAGAUUUAAAGUCUGUAACAGCAGAAAUCAGAUUAAAGUGAAUAAUAAAAAGUGUAAAAACCAUGUAUAUGCUCUUUUGCAAAGAAUCUUGGCUGAAAGAAUAGAGAGGGACGUAACAUAUUUGAGGACACAUGGAUUAGUGGUGGAACAUAGUUACGGCGGGAUGACAUGAGCCUAGGUGGAUUAUGAUACUUAAGGAAGAACAGUUUUUUGAUAAAGGAGGUAAGAGAGUAAGGAUGUGUUCAAUGAAGAGCUCAAUAGGUUGGUGAAGGGUAGUGGGGAAAGUACAUGACUAGGUUUCCUCCAACUAUUUGUCCAGUGAAAUUAUAUCUUUUAAGUUUCUUAUUAGUUCAAACACAGAUUAUAAGAAGAGCAUUUAUGCAUGUCAAAAUUCCAUUUCCUCUCAGAUCCAUUUCUUAUCCUUUCUUUCCUAUGCCCUGAAUCAUAGGAAGCUACAUUGCCUAGGCCAUUUCUUUUGGUCUGGCGGUAAGUUUGGGUACUUGGUGGCAAUCAUGGAAGAUGGGGGGACAGGAGGAAGGGAGCAACCAGGGUAAUUCUUUCCCUCCCUCUUUCUGUCUGCUUCCUAUGGUGUCUGGCAGCAGUUACACUUUCACCAUGGCUCACAAUCUGACCAAGCUGGGUUCCCAGCACCCACCCAGGUACCCACUCUUCUUCUAGCACCUUCUACACAGCCCUGGUGUCCAAGGUCGGGCAUCACCCCGUUGUCUUACUGUUGCUGCUAAAUCU